AUUGAACGCUGGCGGCAUGCCUUACACAUGCAAGUCGAACGGUAACAGGUCUUCGGAUGCUGACGAGUGGCGAACGGGUGAGUAAUACAUCGGAACGUGCCCGAUCGUGGGGGAUAACGGAGCGAAAGCUCUGCUAAUACCGCAUACGAUCUACGGAUGAAAGCAGGGGACCGCAAGGCCUUGCGCGAACGGAGCGGCCGAUGGCAGAUUAGGUAGUUGGUGGGAUAAAAGCUCACCAAGCCGACGAUCUGUAGCUGGUCUGAGAGGACGACCAGCCACACUGGGACUGAGACACGGCCCAGACUCCUACGGGAGGCAGCAGUGGGGAAUUUUGGACAAUGGGCGCAAGCCUGAUCCAGCAAUGCCGCGUGCAGGAUGAAGGCCUUCGGGUUGUAAACUGCUUUUGUACGGAACGAAAAGGCUCUGGUUAAUACCUGGGGCUCAUGACGGUACCGUAAGAAUAAGCACCGGCUAACUACGUGCCAGCAGCCGCAGUAAUAC
rnacentral:rRNA from 1 species